rnacentral:rRNA from 1 species
GAUUAAGUUAUUAAGGGCGCACGGUGGAUGCCUUGGCACUAGAAGCCGAUGAAGGACGUUACUAACGACGAUAUGCUUUGGGGAGCUGUAAGUAAGCUUUGAUCCAGAGAUUUCCGAAUGGGGAAACCCAGCAUGAGUUAUGUCAUGUUAUCGAUAUGUGAAUACAUAGCAUAUCAGAAGGCACACCCGGAGAACUGAAACAUCUUAGUACCCGGAGGAAGAGAAAGAAAAUUCGAUUCCCUUAGUAGCGGCGAGCGAAACGGGAAGAGCCCAAACCAACAAGCUUGCUUGUUGGGGUUGUAGGACACUCUAUACGGAGUUACAAAGGACGACAUUAGACGAAUCAUCUGGAAAGAUGAAUCAAAGAAGGUAAUAAUCCUGUAGUCGAAAAUGUUGUCUCUCUUGAGUGGAUCCUGAGUACGACGGAGCACGUGAAAUUCCGUCGGAAUCUGGGAGGACCAUCUCCUAAGGCUAAAUACUCUCUAGUGACCGAUAGUGAACCAGUACCGUGAGGGAAAGGUGAAAAGCACCCCGGAAGGGGAGUGAAAUAGAACCUGAAACCGUGUGCUUACAAGUAGUCAGAGCCCGUUAAUGGGUGAUGGCGUGCCUUUUGUAGAAUGAACCGGCGAGUUACGAUUUGAUGCAAGGUUAAGCAGUAAAUGUGGAGCCGUAGCGAAAGCGAGUCUGAAUAGGGCGUUUAGUAUUUGGUCGUAGACCCGAAACCAGGUGAUCUACCCUUGGUCAGGUUGAAGUUCAGGUAACACUGAAUGGAGGACCGAACCGACUUACGUUGAAAAGUGAGCGGAUGAACUGAGGGUAGCGGAGAAAUUCCAAUCGAACCUGGAGAUAGCUGGUUCUCUCCGAAAUAGCUUUAGGGCUAGCCUCAAGUGAUGAUUAUUGGAGGUAGAGCACUGUUUGGACGAGGGGCCCCUCUCGGGUUACCGAAUUCAGACAAACUCCGAAUGCCAAUUAAUUUAACUUGGGAGUCAGAACAUGGGUGAUAAGGUCCGUGUUCGAAAGGGAAACAGCCCAGACCACCAGCUAAGGUCCCAAAAUAUAUGUUAAGUGGAAAAGGAUGUGGCGUUGCCCAGACAACUAGGAUGUUGGCUUAGAAGCAGCCAUCAUUUAAAGAGUGCGUAAUAGCUCACUAGUCGAGUGACACUGCGCCGAAAAUGUACCGGGGCUAAACAUAUUACCGAAGCUGUGGAUUGUCCUUUGGA